rnacentral:rRNA from 1 species
UGUCUAAAGUAUAAGCCAAUCUAUACUGUGAAACUGCGAAUGGCUCAUUAAAAUCAGUUAUCGUUUAUUUGAUAGUACCUUACUACUUGGAUAACCGUGGUAAUUCUAGAGCUAAUACAUGCUAAAAACCCCGACUUUUGGAGGGGUGUAUUUAUUAGAUAAAAAACCAAUGCCCUUCGGGGCUCCUUGGUGAUUCAUAAUAACUUAACGAAUCGCAUGGCCUUGUGCCGGCGAUGGUUCAUUCAAAUUUCUGCCCUAUCAACUUUCGAUGGUUAGGUCUUGGCUAACCAUGGUUUCAACGGGUAACGGGGAAUUAGGGUUCUAUUCCGGAGAGUGAGCCUGAGAAACGGCUAACACAUCCAAGGAAGGCAGCAGGCGCGCAAAUUACCCAAUCCCGACACGGGGAGGUAGUGACAAUAAAUACUGAUCCAGGGCUCUUUUGGGUCUUGGAAUUGGAAUGAGUACAAUUUAAAUCCCUUAACGAGGAACAAUUGGAGGGCAAGUCUGGUGCCAGCAGCCGCGGUAAUUCCAGCUCCAAUAGCGUAUAUUAAAGUUGUUGCAGUUAAAAAGCUCGUAGUUGAACCUUGGGUCUGGCUGGUUGGUCCGCCUCACCGCGUGUACUGAUCCGGCCGGACCUUUCCUUCUGGGGAACUGCAUGCCCUUCACUGGGUGUGUCAGGGAUCCAGGACUUUUACUUUGAAAAAAUUAGAGUGUUCAAAGCAGGCCUAUGCUCGAAUACAUUAGCAUGGAAUAAUAGAAUAGGACGUGUGGUUCUAUUUUGUUGGUUUCUAGGACCGCCGUAAUGAUUAAUAGGGAUAGUCGGGGGCAUCAGUAUUCAAUUGUCAGAGGUGAAAUUCUUGGAUUUAUUGAAGACUAACUACUGCGAAAGCAUUUGCCAAGGAUGUUUUCAUUAAUCAGUGAACGAAAGUUAGGGGAUCGAAGACGAUCAGAUACCGUCGUAGUCUUAACCAUAAACUAUGCCGACUAGGGAUCGGGCGAUGUUACUUUUUUGACUCGCUCGGCACCUUACGAGAAAUCAAAGUCU